GCACUGCUGAGGAGUCCCACAUAAUAGGACGAAACGGCCGUCCAGUGC
rfam:Schistosoma mansoni strain Puerto Rico chromosome 2, complete genome